CUAAUACUGUAUCUGUAGUCUCUUUUAUAUAGGAUAACUGACCAAUCAGAAUCAAGUAUUCAACAAAGCCGUGUUAUAAAAUAGAAUAAUCUCAUUUGGGUAAAAAAACAGAGGACAAAAUCAAAGUGUUGUUGUUUAUGGAGCAGUUCCAGACUUUAUACUUGAUGACAUCACAAGUUUGAGACUUCCUGUGGUUUUUGGCUUUGAGAGAGAGUAGCUCAUGUUCACACAUAUCGACUAACCUCUCCGAGGCCAUGGAAAUAACAUAUUGGAAUUCUUGAUUCAGGCAGUGUUCCCCUUUAAUUAACCGGACGCCGGCUCUGCUUUUGAAACUUUCCUGCUGCUUUAUGCCAUCUGAAGACACAGGGUUAACAGGAGCGUGUGAAAUGAUCGUGAUGAAGCCCAAUCCAAGAGCAAGUGUGGUCAGAUGCAUGUGAUGUAUUUUGUCCACAGAGGGGCGCCGUGACACCAAAUACCAAAAAUCCAAUCCAGCUUCAUUUCCUUUGGGUCUGUCCCAAUGGCCACUCUCUAUACUUGGGAGAAGUCAAGUCCCUUAUUUCAACUGCAGCUGAACUGGAAAAAAAAAAACUCACACUCAGAAACCAUGUUAUCUUUUCAAUGAUUUCUGGUUUAUUUUAAAUCACAAAAGAAAAACAUGUUUUUACAAUGUCAAAUGUGUGCUAUUAUUCCAAGUCUCAUCAAUAUGAAUAUAUGUUUGAUAUUUAAGCGAUAACCAUCUCUGAAAGUUCAGCACCAACCGCAUAUUGUUUGGACAGGAAACAUUUUUAAGCUGAAUCCAACAUGUCAAAAAAGUUCAACUUUUUUGUGUCUGUUGAUUUUCGGCAGCGAUUAAAACUAACUUGUGGGUGCAUUACUGCCAACAUCUGGACUGGGGUGGGACUGUGGUGAUUUGUGGGAGAGACGUACCUCUGAAUAUCCCUCUGAAGCUGUGAUGGGAUAAUAAUAAUAACUGUCCUACUAAUUGGUGGCGCAUGGCAAGCGCUUAAGUGUUCCAAUAGUUUGGGUAUUGGGAUGGACCAAUCUUAUAUUAUCUCAUAUAUUCUCAUCAUCCCAAGACGAUUCCAAUCGGACGAGUUUCAGGACCAAACCACACAAACAGAUGCAGAUACCCUGAACCUCAAAUGUCAAAAGUCAUAAUUAAGAGGGCAGCAACGUAUUUAAAUAUUACACAAAUCUUCAGCCUCUCGCCCAGACUUUGUACCUCUAUUAUCUCUGUGUAACCUAUUUAGUGUGCAGAACACAUGCACAUCUUUCUUGUCCAAGUGCAGAGUCCAAAAACUAAUUUGUGAUUUAUGCCAAGGACUUAUAAACGCCUGAAGUUGUACUUUUUUCUUGCGAGUCCUUAGAGGGUAAAAACAUCUCACUUAUUAAGAAAUAAAGCCAGACCAUAAAUGGUGCUAAAUGCCAAA